rnacentral:rRNA from 1 species
GAUGAACGCUGGCGGCGUGCCUAAUACAUGCAAGUCGAGCGAACAGAUAAGGAGCUUGCUCCUUUGACGUUAGCGGCGGACGGGUGAGUAACACGUGGGUAACCUACCUAUAAGACUGGAAUAACUCCGGGAAACCGGGGCUAAUGCCGGAUAACAUUUAGAACCGCAUGGUUCUAAAGUGAAAGAUGGUUUUACUAUCACUUAUAGAUGGACCCGCGCCGUAUUAGCUAGCUGGUAAGGUAACGGCUUACCAAGGCAACGAUCCGUAGCCGACCUGAGAGGGUGAUCGGCCACACUGGAACUGAGACACGGUCCAGACUCCUACGGGAGGCAGCAGUAGGGUAUCUUCCGCAAUGGGCGAAAGCCUGACGGAGCAACGCCGCGUGAGUGAUGAAGGUCUUCGGAUCGUAAAACUCUGUUAUUAGGGAAGAACAAAUGUGUAAGUAACUGUGCACGUCUUGACGGUACCUAAUCAGAAAGCCACGGCUAACUACGUG